CGGAGUGUGGGCUAAUUGGCUAAGCCGCCUGUUUUGGGAACAGGAAAAUUGUAGGUUCGAGUCCUACCAUUCCGA
rnacentral:tRNA from 1 species